CGCCCGUUCCAAGUUAGGAGUUGGGCUGCGGCCGCUUAGACGAAAGUCAUGGCGUCCCGACUCAUAGAGGCCACUUAGACGAAAGUCAUGGCGUCCCGACUCAUAGAGCGGCGAGCAAUACGCCAGGCUGGAUUCACAGAGCAGCGAAUACCGUCCGCUUCCAACGGUGAAAGUAUAACG
rnacentral:SRP_RNA from 7 species